rnacentral:rRNA from 1 species
UGGGGAAUUUUGGACAAUGGGGGAAACCCUGAUCCAGCCAUCCCGCGUGUGCGAUGAAGGCCUUCGGGUUGUAAAGCACUUUUGGCAGGAAAGAAACGUCAUGGGUUAAUACCCCGUGAAACUGACGGUACCUGCAGAAUAAGCACCGGCUAACUACGUGCCAGCAGCCGCGGUAAUACGUAGGGUGCAAGCGUUAAUCGGAAUUACUGGGCGUAAAGCGUGCGCAGGCCGUUCGGAAAGAAAGAUGUGAAAUCCCAGAGCUCAACUUUGGAACUGCGUUUUUAACUACCGGGCUAGAGUGUGUCAGAGGGAGGUGGAAUUCCGCGUCUAGCAGUGAAAUGCGUAGAUAUGCGGAGGAACACCGAUGGCGAAGGCAGCCUACUGAGAUAACACUGAUGCUAAUGCACGAAAGCGUGGGGAGCGAACAGG